rnacentral:rRNA from 1 species
CACUCCUACGGGAGGCAGCAGUGGGGAAUAUUGCACAAUGGGCGCAAGCCUGAUGCAGCCAUGCCGCGUGUAUGAAGAAGGCCUUCGGGUUGUAAAGUACUUUCAGCGGGGAGGAAGGCGAUAAGGUUAAUAACCUUGUCGAUUGACGUUACCCGCAGAAGAAGCACCGGCUAACUCCGUGCCAGCAGCCGCGGUAAUACGGAGGGUGAAAGCGUUAAUCGGAAUUACUGGGCGUAAAGCGCACGCAGGCGGUCUGUCAAGUCGGAUGUGAAAUCCCCGGGCUCAACCUGGGAACUGCAUUCGAAACUGGCAGGCUAGAGUCUUGUAGAGGGGGGUAGAAUUCCAGGUGUAGCGGUGAAAUGCGUAGAGAUCUGGAGGAAGACCGGUGGCGAAGGCGGCCCCCUGGACAAAGACUGACGCUCAGGUGCGAAAGCGUGGGGAGCAAACAGGAUUAGAAACCCGAGUAGUCCCAUGA